GUGCCAGCAGCCGCGGUAAUACGGAGGGUGCGAGCGUUAAUCGGAAUUACUGGGCGUAAAGCGUGCGUAGGUGGUUUAAUAAGUUAUCUGUGAAAUCCCUGGGCUCAACCUGGGCAGGUCAGAUAAUACUGUUGGACUCGAGUAUGGGAGAGGGUAGUGGAAUUUCCGGUGUAGCGGUGAAAUGCGUAGAGAUCGGAAGGAACACCAGUGGCGAAGGCGGCUACCUGGCCUAAUACUGACACUGAGGCACGAAAGCGUGGGGAGCAAACAGGAUUAGAAACCCUGGUAGUCC
rnacentral:rRNA from 1 species